GUGUGUCGGGGGCCGCGCGAGCGCGUGUAUGUGACGGACGGCUCGUACCCGGGGCCCGAGUACGUACGCGCGUGUUCCAUAGAUGUGCAACGGCGUCGGCCAAGGAGGGCCUCAAGUUGCGUCGCGCGGCGCUUGGGUGUGACACGGGUGCGCGCGCGCACGCCUUUAGUGAUCACGCCGACGAGGACGAGGAGGAGCCGAGUCGGCUACAUCGACCGAGGAGCGGGCGUUCGAGUGGCCCCCGGUCCCGGGGUGCUGUGAGGUCGAGAGUGAGCUGCGAGACGGCAUCGAAAAAACGAGAGAAAAAGAGAUGGAGAAUGAGAAAGAAAUGCCAACUACUAGCGAGCGAAAUUCAAUGAAGCUCCCUACUCGCACGGCCUCGAGAUCCUAUAGAAUCGCAGACACCGAUUAACAAGAGCGCAAAGAUAAAUUUUUUAAAGAGAACGCUCGACUGCAGCGGAUAAGCGCAAGAUACGGGAGAGAAAGAGGGGGUGAGCGAGGGGGGGCUCUAACUAGCUCCAGUAUCCCACGCAUUAUCAGCACGAGAUAAGCAAGCCUACGAGAUAAACAGGAGAGACAGAGAGAGAGAGAGAGAGAGAGAGAGAGAGCAAAAAGAG